rnacentral:ncRNA from 1 species
UAGGAUAGGUGGGAGGCUUUGAAGAUGGGACGCUAGUCUCAUUGGAGCCAAUCUUGAAAUACCACCCUGGUAUGUUUGAGGUUCUAACUCAGGUCCAUUAUCUGGAUCGAGGACACUGUGUGGUGGGUAGUUUGACUGGGGCGGUCUCCUCCCAAAGAGUAACGGAGGAGCACGAAGGUGUGCUCAGCAUGGUCGGAAAUCAUGCGUAGAGUGUAAAGGCAAAAGCACGCUUAACUGCGAGACAGACACGUCGAGCAGGUACGAAAGUAGGUCUUAGUGAUCCGGUGGUUCUGUAUGGAAGGGCCAUCGCUCAACGGAUAAAAGGUACUCCGGGGAUAACAGGCUGAUACCGCCCAAGAGUUCACAUCGACGGCGGUGUUUGGCACCUCGAUGUCGGCUCAUCACAUCCUGGGGCUGAAGCCGGUCCCAAGGGUAUGGCUGUUCGCCAUUUAAAGUGGUACGCGAGCUGGGUUUAGAACGUCGUGAGACAGUUCGGUCCCUAUCUGCCGUGGACGUUUGAGAUUUGAGAGGAGCUGCUCCUAGUACGAGAGGACCGGAGUGGACGAACCUCUGGUGUUCCGGUUGUCACGCCAGUGGCAUUGCCGGGUAGCUACGUUCGGACGGGAUAACCGCUGAAAGCAUCUAAGCGGGAAGCCUCCCUCAAGAUAAGAUCUCACUGGGACAUAAGUCCCCUAAAGAGCCGUUCGAGACUAGGACGUUGAUAGGUUGGGUGUGUAAGUGCUGUGAGGCAUUGAGCUAACCAAUACUAAUUGCUCGUGAGGCUUGACCAU